GUUUUACAGGCGAGUUAGAUCCACCCUGGGUUGUCAAUUUCUGCAUCGAACUAACAAUAUGUGAGUCUUCCUCGCGCCCUCACUCACUCCCUCCCUGCCUACCUUUCUUCCUUGCCCUUUCUCGCAAAAUCAGUAUCAGAUAAUCAUCAGCAGCUCAAACUAAUACAGAGGGAGCCACCCCAGCUAUGAUUGAAAUCUCAUUUCAUUUCCAAACUAAAGGGGUAAGUAUUGGAUCGAGUUCUUGAAUUGGUUGCGUUAAGGGAUGGCGUGGUUUAGCGGGAAGGUGUCCUUAGGGAACUUCCCGGAUCUUGCUGGU
rnacentral:misc_RNA from 1 species